AGAGAAAGAGAGAGAGAAAGAGAGAAAGAGAGAGAGUGAGAGAGAGAGAGUGAGAGAAAGAGAGAGUGAGAGAAAGAGAGAGCGCGAGAGGAAAUAAAAUAAUUAACAAAACAUCAGAGCAAACUAGAAUGCUAUUUGUCCCUAAACAGACAGUACACAGUGGCAGAAUACCUGACCACUGUGACUGACACAAAUUUAAGGAAAGCUUUGACCAUGUACAGACUCAGUGAGCAUAGCCUUGCUAUUGAGAAAGGCAGCCGUAGGCAGACCUGGCUCUCAAGAGAAGACAGGCUAUGUGCACACUGCCCACAAUAGGAGGUGGAAUCUGAGCUGCACUUCCUGGCCUCCUUCCAAAUGUAUGACCAUACUAGAGACACAUAUUUCCCUCAGAUUACACAGAUCCACAAAGAACUUGAAAACAAACUGAAUUUUGAUAAACUCCCAUAUCUACUGGGUUAAAUACGACAGUGUGGCAUCACAGCAGCAAGAUGUGUGACCUGUUGCCUCAAGAAAAGGGCAAACAGUGAAGAAGAAACACCAUUGUAAAUACAACCCAUAUUUAUCUUUAAUUAUAUUCCCUUUUGUACUUUCACUAUUUGCACAUAAUGACAUUUGAUAUGUCUUUAUUCUUUUGGAACUUUUGUGAGUGUAAUGCUUACUGUAACUUUUGUUUACUGUCUAUUUCAAGUGCUUUGGCAAUGCAAACCUUUUUUUCCCAUGCCAAUAAAGCCCAUUAAAUUGAAAUUAAAUUGAAAUUGAAUUUAAAGGGGAAAUAUAUAUAUGAGAGAGAGAGAAGGGGGAGAUAUAUGACAGACAGACAGACAGACAGACAGACAGACAGACAGACAGACAGACAGACAGACAGACAGACAGACAGACAGACAGACAGACAGACAGACAGACAGACAGACAGACAGACAGACAGACAGACAGACAGACAGACAGACAGACAGACAGACAGACAGACAGACAGACAGACAGACAGACAGACAGACAGACAGACAGAUAGAUAGAUAGAUAGAUAGAUAGAUAGAUAGAUAGAUAGAUAGAUAGAUAGAUAGAUAGAUAGAUAGAUAGAAAGAGAGAAAGAAAGAGAGAAAGAAAGAGAGAGCUAGAGAAAGAGAGAGAUAAACAACUGCUUUUAAUCUAUGUUAAACCUUUCAGAUGUUUAGUCUGUUUAGCCUCUUUCGCUCUUCCAUUCUCUCUUUUUCAGUCUCUCAACUUUCACUCACUCACACCGGCUGACUGUUAUUUACACAGAGCUCUCUUCCUGUUCUACACCACAACUCUCAGUCAAAACAAACCCUGAGCUCUGUCUGCCUCUGAGAGAGAGAGAGAGAGAGAAGAGAGAGAGAGAGAGAGAGAGAGAGAGAGAGAAGAGAGAGGUUAGAUCACAUAAAACAAUCAGUCCAAGGUAGUGAUUAUUACCUCAGCUGAACACUGACAUGUCACUUUUCCUUUCCCCACACAGCACCUCAACACAAAUAACUGCUGUGCACUUUGGCCACUGACCACCAUGUAAUCUCUGUUGUCAAUCACCCAAGUGACUCCGAGACUACAUCGUUAAAAAAUAUUGUUACUGGAUACUAUAUCUCCUGUCUCUGUCUCUUAACCAUCACUCAUCCACAGUGAACUCAACACAGAGCAGUGUGAGUGCUAGUUAGCUACGCUAUACAAAGCUUUUUCCACAUUUUAGGCUGUGGAGCAGAGCGGUGUGGUGUGUGUUCUCUCCAGGGAUGUCAAUAUCACUGUUCUUAGGGAAGAGGAGUUGGAGGAGAUGCAUUCGGGAAGGGACUACGGAGAGAUGGAGCGUGAGGGGCAUUAGGAAAGAACGGCCCGCCAGCUAGGACACAGACACACACACACAUUCGGCAUGAAACACGCACAUGAAACACAGGUUCAGUUAGAAUAUGGUCUAGGCUCAGGAAGAAUACGUUCUAGGUUCAGUUAGAAUAUGGUCUAGGCUCAGGAAGAAUAUGUUCUAGGUUCAGUUAGAAAAUGUUCUAGGUUCAGUUAGAAUAGGGUCUACGUUCAGUAAGAAAAUGUUCUAGGUUCAGUUAGAAUAUGGUCUAGGUCCAGGAAGAAUAUGUUCUAGGUUCAGUUAGAAUAUUGUCUAGGUUCAGGAAGAAUAUGUUCUAGGUUCAGUUAGAAUAUGGACUAGGUUCAGUAAGAAUAUGAGGUUAAAUAAGAAUAUGGUCUAGGUUCAAUAAGAAUAUGGUCUAGGUUCAAUAAGAAUAUGGUCUAGGUUCAGUAAGAAUUUGGUCUAGGUUAAAUAAGAAUAUGGUCUAGGUUCAGUAAAAAAAUAUGGUCUAGGUUCAGUAAGAAUAUGUCUAGGUUCAAUAAGAAUAUGGUCUAGGGGUUCAGUAAGAAUAUGGUCUAGGUUCAAUAAGAAUAUGGUCUAGGGGUUCAGUAAGAAUAUGGUCUAGGUUCAAUAAGAAUAUGGUCUAGGGGUUCAGUAAGAAUAUGUCUAGGUUCAAAAAGAAUAUGGUCUAGGGGUUCAGUAAGAAUAUGUCUAGGUUCAAUAAGAAUAUGGUCUAGGGGUUCAGUAAGAAUAUGUCUAGGUUCAAAAAGAAUAUGGUCUAGGGGUUCAGUAAGAAUAUGUCUAGGUUCAAUAAGAAUAUGGUCUAGGGGUUCAGUAAGAAUAUGGUCUAGGUUCAAUAAGAAUAUGGUCUAGGUUCAAUAAGAAUAUGGUCUAGGUUCAGUAAGAAUUUGGUCUAGGUUAAAUAAGAAUAUGGUCUAGGUUCAAUAAGAAUAUGGUCUAGGUUCAGUAAGAAUUUGGUCUAGGUUAAAUAAGAAUAUGGUCUAGGUUCAGUAAAAAAAUAUGGUCUAGGUUCAGUAAGAAAAUGUCUAGGUUCAGUAAGAAUAUGGUCUAGGGGUUCAGUAAGAAUAUGGUCUAGGGGUUCAGUAAGAAUAUGGUCUAGGCUCAGUAAGAAUAUGGUCUAGGUUCAGUACGAAUAUGGUCUAGGGGUUCAGUAAGAAUAUGGUCUAGGUUCAAUAAGAAUAUGGUCUAGGCUCAGUAAGAAUAUGGUCUAGGUUCAGUUAGAAUAUGUUCUAUGUUCAGUAAGAGUAUGGUCUAGGUUCAGUAAGAGUAUGGUCUGGAUUCAGUAAGAAUAUGGUCUAGGGGUUCAGUAAGAAUAUGGUCUCGGUUCAAUAAGAAUAUGGUCUAGGGGUUCAGUAAGAAUAUGGUCUCGGUUCAAUAAGAAUAUGGUCUAGGGGUUCAGUAAGAAUUUGGUCUAGGUUAAAUAAGAAUAUGGUUUAGGGGUUCAGUAAGAAUAUGGUCUAGGUUCAAUAAGAAUAUGGUCUAGGUUCAGUAAGAAUGUGGUCUAGGUUCAGUAAGAAUAUGGUCUAGGUUCAGUAAGAAUAUGGUCUAGGUUCAGUAAGAAUAUGGUCUAGGUUCAGUAAAAAUGUGGUCUAGGUUCAGUAAGAAUAUGGUCUAGGUUCAGUAAAAAUAUGGUCUAGGUUCAGUAAGAGUAUGGUCUAGGUUCAGUAAGAGUAUGGUCUAGGUUCAGUAAGAGUAUGGUCUAGGUUCAGUAAGAAUAUGGUCUAGGUUCAGUAAGAGUAUGGUCUAGGUUCAGUAAGAGUAUGGUCUAGGUUCAGUAAGAGUAUGGUCUAGGUUCAGUAAGAGUAUGGUCUAGGUUCAGUAAGAGUAUGGUCUAGGUUCAGUAAGAGUAUGGUCUAGGUUCAGUAAGAGUAUGGUCUAGGUUCAGUAAGAGUAUGGUCUAGGUUCAGUAAGAGUAUGGUCUAGGUUCAGUAAGAGUAUGGUCUAGGUUCAGUAAGAGUAUGGUCUAGGUUCAGUAAGAGUAUGGUCUAGGUUCAGUAAGAGUAUGGUCUAGGUUCAGUAAGAGUAUGGUCUAGGUUCAGUAAGAGUAUGGUCUAGGUUCAGUAAGAGUAUGGUCUAGGUUCAGUAAGAGUAUGGUCUAGGUUCAGUAAGAGUAUGGUCUAGGUUCAGUAAGAGUAUG